GACGAACGCUGGCGGCGUGCUUAACACAUGCAAGUCGAACGGAAAGGCCCUGCUUUUGUGGGGUGCUCGAGUGGCGAACGGGUGAGUAACACGUGAGUAACCUGCCCUUGACUUUGGGAUAACUUCAGGAAACUGGGGCUAAUACCGGAUCGGAGCUCCUGCUGCAUGGUGGGGGUUGGAAAGUUUCGGCGGUUGGGGAUGGACUCGCGGCUUAUCAGCUUGUUGGUGGGGUAGUGGCUUACCACGGCUUUGACGGGUAGCCGGCCUGAGAGGGUGACCGGCCACAUUGGGACUGAGAUACGGCCCAGACUCCUACAGGAGGCAGCAGUGGGGAAUAUUGCACAAUGGGCGGAAGCCUGAUGCAGCAACGCUGCGUGCGGGAUGACGGCCUUCGGGUUGUAAACCGCUUUCGCCUGUGACGAAGCGUGAGUGACGGUAAUGGGUAAAGAAGCACCGGCUAACUACGUG
rnacentral:rRNA from 1 species